UGGGCCUGUAGCUCAGUUGGGAGAGCGCAUGCUUUGCAAGCAUGAUGUCAUCGGUUCGAUCCCGUUCAGGUCCACCAA
rnacentral:tRNA from 1 species